rnacentral:tRNA from 1 species
GCCCUUGUGGCGGAAUUGGUAGACGCGAUAGACUCAAAAUCUAUUACCUUCCAGGUGUGGGAGUUCAAGUCUCCCCGAGGGUACCA